rnacentral:rRNA from 1 species
AUUGAACGCUGGCGGCAGGCCUAACACAUGCAAGUCGAGCGGAUGAUGGGAGCUUGCUCCUGGAUUCAGCGGCGGACGGGUGAGUAAUGCCUAGGAAUCUGCCUGGUAGUGGGGGACAACGUUUCGAAAGGAACGCUAAUACCGCAUACGUCCUACGGGAGAAAGCAGGGGACCUUCGGGCCUUGCGCUAUCAGAUGAGCCUAGGUCGGAUUAGCUUGUUGGGGAGGUAAUGGCUCACCAAGGCGACGAUCCGUAACUGGUCUGAGAGGAUGAUCAGUCACACUGGAACUGAGACACGGUCCAGACUCCUACGGGAGGCAGCAGUGGGGAAUAUUGGACAAUGGGCGAAAGCCUGAUCCAGCCAUGCCGCGUGUGUGAAGAAGGUCUCCGGAUUGUAAAGCACUUUAAGUUGGGAGGAAGGGUUGUAGAUUAAUACUCUGCAAUUUUGACGUUACCGACAGAAUAAGCACCGGCUAACUCUGUGCCAGCAGCCGCGGUAAAAC